GACGAACGCUGGCGGCGUGCUUAACACAUGCAAGUCGAACGGAAAGGCCCUGCUUUUGUGGGGUGCUCGAGUGGCGAACGGGUGAGUAACACGUGAGUAACCUGCCCUUGACUUUGGGAUAACUUCAGGAAACUGGGGCUAAUACCGGAUAGGAGCUCCUGCUGCAUGGUGGGGGUUGGAAAGUUUCGGCGGUUGGGGAUGGACUCGCGGCUUAUCAGCUUGUUGGUGGGGUAGUGGCUUACCAAGGCUUUGACGGGUAGCCGGCCUGAGAGGGUGACCGGCCACAUUGGGACUGAGAUACGGCCCAGACUCCUACGGGAGGCAGCAGUGGGGAAUAUUGCACAAUGGGCGGAAGCCUGAUGCAGCAACGCCGCGUGCGGGAUGACGGCCUUCGGGUUGUAAACCGCUUUCGCCUGUGACGAAGCGUGAGUGACGGUAAUGGAUAAAGAAGCACCGGCUAACUACGUGCCAGCAGCCGCGGUGAUACGUAGGGUGCGAGCGUUGUCCGGAUUUAUUGGGCGUAAAGAGCUCGUAGGUGGUUGAUCGCGUCGGAAGUGUAAUCUUGGGGCUUAACCCUGAGCGUGCUUUCGAUACGGGUUGACUUGAGGAAGGUAGGGGAGAAUGGAAUUCCUGGUGGGGCGGUGGAAUGCGCAGACAUCAGGAGGAACACCAGUGGCGAAGGCGGUUCUCUGGGCCUUUCCUGACGCUGAGGAGCGAAAGCGUGGGGAGCGAACAGGCUUAGAUACCCUGGUAGUCCACGCUGUAAACGGUGGGUACUAGGUGUGGGGUCCAUUCCACGGGUCCCGUGCCGUAGCUAACGCUUUAAGUACCCCGCCUGGGGAGUACGGCCGCAAGGCUAAAACUCAAAGGAAUUGACGGGGCCCCGCACAUGCGGCGGAGCAUGCGGAUUAAUUCGAUGCAACGCGUAGAACCUUACCUGGGUUUGACAUGGAUCGGGAGUGCUCAGAGAUGGGUGUGCCUCUUUUGGGGUCGGUUCACAGGUGGUGCAUGGCUGUCGCCAGCUCGUGUCGUGAGAUGUUGGGUUAAGUCCCGCAACGAGCGCAACCCUUGUUCACUGUUGCCAGCACGUUAUGGUGGGGACUCAGUGGAGACCGCCGGGGUCAACUCGGAGGAAGGUGGGGAUGACGUCAAGUCAUCAUGCCCCUUAUGUCCAGGGCUUCACGCAUGCUACAAUGGCUGGUACAGAGAGUGGCGAGCCUGUGAGGGUGAGCGAAUCUCGGAAAGUCGGUCUCAGUUCGGAUUGGGGUCUGCAACUCGACCUCAUGAAGUCGGAGUCGCUAGUAAUCGCAGAUCAGCAACGCUGCGGUGAAUACGUUCCCGGG
rnacentral:rRNA from 1 species